rnacentral:rRNA from 1 species
AUUGAACGCUAGCGGGAUGCCUUACACAUGCAAGUCGAACGAGUUGCGAACGGGUGAGUAACGCGAAGGUAACUGACUCAUAGCGGGGGAUAACUAUUGUACACGAUAGGUAAUACCGCAUACUGUGAGGUAGACCUGCGUUGUAUUAGCUAGUUGGUGAGGUAAAGGCUCACCAAGGCGACGCUACAUAGCCGGCUUGAGAGGGUGAUCGGGCACACUGGGAAUGAGACAACGCCCAGACUCCUACGGGAGGCAGCAGGAGGGAAGUUUCGGCAAUGGAGGGAAGUCUGACCGAGCAACACCGCGUGAGUGAAGAAGGUUUUCGGAUCGUAAAGCUCUGUUGUUCGAGAAGCGGUAACUAACCAGAAAGCGACGGCUAACUCCGUGCCAGCAGCCGCGGUAAUAC